GACGAACGCUGGCGGCAUGCCUAACACAUGCAAGUCGAGCGAGUAGAUCCCUUCGGGGUGAAGCUAGCGGCGGACGGGUGAGUAACACGUGGGCAACCUGCCUCAUAGAGGGGAAUAGCCUUCCGAAAGGAAGAUUAAUACCGCAUAAGAUUGUAGCUUCGCAUGAAGCAGCAAUUAAAGGAGCAAUCCGCUAUGAGAUGGGCCCGCGGCGCAUUAGCUAGUUGGUGAGGUAACGGCUCACCAAGGCGACGAUGCGUAGCCGACCUGAGAGGGUGAUCGGCCACAUUGGGAGUGAGACACGGCCCAGACUCCUACGGGAGGCAGCAGUGGGGAAUAUUGCACAAUGGGGGAAACCCUGAUGCAGCAAUGCCGCGUGAGUGAUGACGGCCUACGGGUUGUAAAGCUCUGUCUUCGGGGACGAUAAUGACGGUACCCGAGGAGGAAGCCACGGCUAACUACGUGCCAGCCGCCGCAGUAA
rnacentral:rRNA from 1 species